rnacentral:rRNA from 1 species
UACGAAGGGAGCUAGCGUUGUUCGGAAUCACUGGGCGUAAAGCGCACGUAGGCGGAUUUGUUAGUCAGGGGUGAAAUCCCGGGGCUCAACCUCGGAACUGCCUUUGAUACUGCAAAUCUCGAGUCCGGAAGAGGUGGGUGGAAUUCCUAGUGUAGAGGUGAAAUUCGUAGAUAUUAGGAAGAACACCGAUGGCGAAGGCAGCCCCCUGGGCCAACACUGACGCUCAGGCACGAAAGCGUGGGGAGCAAACAGG